rnacentral:lncRNA from 1 species
CAAGAUUGAGAGGUUUAUAAAUUCAGUGAGCACAGCCUGUAAUCGUAUCCGCUUCAUUGACUUGCCUAAAGAUGAGCCUGAUCCAAACCAACCCAGGAAGUCUAUCUUUUCUUUGAUUGAAACCCAGAUACCCCAUGUCAAAGAUGAAGUCUCUAAGCUUGUGAGCCAGUCCGAGUCAAGCCCUGACUCGCCUACACUUUCUGGGUUUGUUCUCGAUAUGUUUUGUACACCAAUGAUAGACGUGGCCAAUGAAUUUGGUGUUCCCUCAUAUAUUUUCCUUACGUCAGGUGCAGCUUUCCUUGGCCUCCAAUUUUAUGUUCAGGCUCUUCACGAUGAGCAGAAAGUUGACCCUGCUGAGUUCAAGGGCUCUGAUGCUGAGUUAGUGAUGCCGUGUUUGGCAAAUCCUCUUCCAGCUAAGGUCUUGCCUUCUGUUUUGGUUGACAAAGAGUGGCUGCCAAAUAUGCUCAGUCAAGCUAGAAGGUUUAGAGAAACUAAGGGUAUUAUAAUAAACACAUUUGAAGAGCUGGAAUCUCAUGCGAUCCACUCCUUUUCUAAGGGUAAUACCCCUCCGGUAUAUCCAGUGGGUCCCAUUUUAAACCUUAAUAGAGAUGGUGAUUGUGACGAGGAGUCUGAUAAAUACAAAGACAUCAAGCAAUGGCUUGAUGAUCAGCCCCUAUCCUCAGUAGUGUAUCUAUGCUUCGGGAGCAGGGGGAGUUUCGGAGUGGAUCAGGUGAAGGAAAUUGCAUGGGGGCUAGAGCAGAGCGGGCAUCGAUUCUUGUGGUCUCUACGGAAACCACCACCGGUAGGGAAGAUGGAACUUCCAAGCGAUUACACUAAUCCUCGGGAUGUCUUACCUGAAGGAUUUCUGGAUCGGACGGCUAUCACAGGAAAAAUAAUUGGAUGGGCCCCGCAGACAGAUAUUUUGGCCCAUCCAUCCGUAGGAGGGUUCGUAUCGCACUGUGGAUGGAACUCUAUAUUGGAAAGCAUAUGGUUUGGCGUUCCAAUUGCCGCGUGGCCAUUAUAUGCAGAGCAACAACUGAAUGCCUUUCAAAUGAUUGUUGAGCUCGGAUUGGGAGUGGAGAUUAAAAUGGAUUAUAGAAGAGAGUUUAUCUCGGAUGGUAAUGAAGAUGUCAUUAGUGCCGGGGAGAUCGAGAGAGGAGUAAGGUGUUUAAUGGAGCUUUGCGAUGAGAAGAGGGAGAAGUUGAAGGAGAUGAGAGAGAAGAGCAGGAAGGCUUUGGAGAACGGUGGAACCUCGUUCACAUGGCUAGGUCGUUUCAUUCAAGAUACGGUGGACCACGUACCAUGAUUAAAUGGUACUCUCUUCGUAUUAUUUAAUACUGUGUCUUUGCGUUGAAAUAUUGUCUUUCAAAAUAAAUAAAUAAAUAUGGUUCAUUGAAAUCAGAGUUUUACCAUGCAUAGUAAAAUGAUUUGUGCAUUGAAAUUAUCACUUUAGCCCUAUUAAGAAAAACUCAAUGAACUUCAUCUCAAGGACAAAUAUUCUUAAAAAGAUAUUAAACUUAUAUAUAUUAAGCCAGGGUUGGAAAAAGGAUAUUAAACAAGGAAAUUUUUUAAAGAGUGAUCGAUAAUAAUUUUUUAAAUAAAUUCUUUGAAUAUAUAUAUAUAUAUAUAUAUAGAAAAUUGAGAGAUUUAGAAUCCUUUAAUUGAGUGAUUCCAGGAAGCCAUUUUUUUUUUUUUUUGUUGGAGUUGAAGUAGAUGGGUUAGAGUCAUUUCAUUUUUAUAUAUUGAAUUUGAAUUAUGAGUUUUAUUUCCCUUAAUAUACCCAAAAUACCGCAACCACAUACUUGUCUUUCCACUAAAUUUAUUCAAUUUGGAGAGGGAGAUGUAGUAGGUGAUUAGAGACUUUAAUACACAACCUGUUAAGUUAAAUUUUGUUGAAUUGCUAAUAAUUUUUUUAAUAAAAAAAUUUGGCUUGAUGUGACCUGAUCAGGAUAUAAAAAUAAUUUAGGUUGGCUAUAAAAAUAUAAUUUGAUUAAAAAAAUUAAAAUAAUAUUUUUAUAAAAAAAUAUUAAAAUAAUAACAUCUUGAUACAGAUCAACUUAAAUUAAUCUAUAAAUUUUCCAAUUAUAAUUAUAAAAUUAUUAUAAUAAAAUUUAAUUUUUAAUCAAUUUUAAAUAAUAAAAUUAAAAAAAUCUAAACAUAACAUAAUUUAAUCCAAAUUAACCUAUUAAUCCAAAUUAACCUUCUUUUCCUCGCUCAAGCUAGAAGGUUCAGGGAAAGUAAGGGUAUUAAACACAAAUAAAGAGCUGGAAUCUCAUGCGAUCAACUCCUUUUCUAAUGGCAAUACCCCUCCCGUGUGUCAGUGGGUCCCAUUUUAAACAAUGGCUUGAUGAUCAGCCUCUAUCAUCAGUGGUGCAUAUAUGCUUCGGGAGCAUGGGAAGUUUCGGUGUGGAUCAGGUGAAGGAAAUCGCAUGUGGGCUAGAGCAGGGCGGCCAUCGAUUCUUGUGGUCUCUACGUAAACCACCACCGAAAGGCAGGAUGGAACUUCUUCCAAGCGAUUACACUAAUCCUCGGGAUGUCUUACCUAAAGGAUUUUUUUUGAUCGGACGACUAACAUUGGAAAAAUAAUUGGAUGGGCUCCACAGAUGAAUAUUUUGGCUCAUCCUUCGGUGGGAGGGUUUGUAUCGUACCGUGGAUGGAAUUCUAUAUUGGAAAGCAUGGUGUUCCAACUUCCAAUUGCUGCCUGGCAGAGCACAAACUAAAGCUUUUCAAAUAGUUGUAGAGUUAGGGUUGGGAGUGGAGAUUAAAAUAAUUAAAAGAAUUGAACUCGGAUGGUAAAAGCCUAAUUAUUUUAAUUUUUUUUAUGUUUAUUUUGAACACUUUAAAGAAAGAACUAGAUAAAAUGUUAAAAUAUUUUUUCUCUUUCAUAAAUAAUAUUUUUAUAUAUUUUUCAAAAAAGUCAAAAUCAACAAAAUAGCUUUUACCAUCACCAUCACAAUAUAAUUAGCUUUUCAAACGAUUUUUUUCCAUUAGAAUAGAUAUUAUAAAAAAAAACUAUAUUUAUACUAUUUAAAAUGCUAUUUUAUCAAUUUAACUUUUUAAAAUAGUAUUUUUCAUUGGAGAUGCUCUUACAGCAAAGCCAUGACCUCAGUCUUUAAUUUUGUGCCUCACGUGAUUGGGAUGUAAUUCAGUUAGUCAUAUUAUAAAUUUAUUCGAAUCUCGUAAAUUUCAAGGUUAUUAAAGAUUUAUAUGAUUGUUAAUUUUAAAAUUAAUUAAGAUACGUGUAAGGCGGAACAAAUAUUUACAUUAAUGAAAUAAAAAAAUCUUGUGCUACACAUGCAUGAUAUUUUUAACAAAGAAUAGUCAAGUACACUUCAUUAUAGCCCCUUAUAGUGCACCUAAGAAGGACACGAAGAUCAGUCUUUUGCAUUCCUCCUUGAACUCUCUAGCUACUCAGUUGCAUAAAUGAAGAAAGCUGAGCUAGUCGCCAUACCAGCACCUGGUAGAAGCCACCUUAUGUCCACCUUAGUCUCCAUACGGCAAUUCAUUUUUUGGGGUCUUUCUGACGAAUUGUAAAAGCAGUCCACAAUGACAGCAAAGCCAUGACCUCACUCUCACUCUUGGCCUGCACGGCUGCACGUAUAUCUUUUUCAACAAUAAAUUGCCAAUCUCAAGUCCACUUAAUUAUAGCCACAAACAGUGCCUUUAAAAGGACACUGAGGCUUUUGGCUCGGCACUGGGAGGAGCUUUGUUUCUUUCCUGAGUUCGAAUCUUCAUGUGUAUGUUUGUUAUUUUCAUGGUGUUUUAUAUAUCUAUUAGGUUUGCAGGGUAUUUAGUAGUCGUGAAAUUAAUCGUGGUGAAGAAAAAAAAUCAGUCUUUUACAUGCAAUCCCACCUGGAAAUUCUCUAGCAAAUAGAGGAAAAAAAAAAAAAUAAGUCGCAGAAUGAAGAAAGCUGAGCUGGUCUUCAUACCAAAGUGUUGAUGAUUAAACCAAAGCAUAGAUCUAGAUAAUAUAGAUUAUAGUUGUUAAACUGGGUUCAGUAAUCUACUCAAAAUAAAAUUUAAAUCACUAAGUUACAAGGUCUCAUGUCAAUUAUUUUUAUUAAAAUAUAGGUGUUAUUUGGUUCUAGAUUUUUUUUAUGAAAAAAAGAAAUUCUUAGUGUUGACGUGUCUAGGUGUGACCUAGUUAAUAGGGUUAUUAAAUAAGUUUUUUUGUGUGUCUAUAUAUAACUUUAACUUGGCCCAGAUCAAAUUUAAAAUCCUUACUUUUUUAGAUUAUUUUAUCAAGUUAAACUAAGUUUAAUCAUUAUGACAUUUGGUUUUUUUUUCUUGAUUUAAAUUUCAAGAUUAGUGUUUAUUUAAAAAAAAAAUACACCUCACUGAUAAAAGAUGAUGUGUUUUUUUAGUUAUUCAUAACCUAAAUUUAAUCUCUAUUAACAUCAAUCCUAAAACAUCAAUAUAUAAGCAUAGAAAAUUCAGCCUAUUGUAAAAGAGAUUUAAAUUUCUGACAGGGACGGCAUCCCAUUUUUUUGGGUCUUCUCGACGAAUUGUAAAAGCAGUCCACAAUCACAGCAAAGCCAUGACCUCACUCUUAUUCUUGUCCUGCUCGAAUGUAGUUUUGAACAGUACAUUGCCAAUCUCAAGUCCACUUAAUUAUAGCCACAAACAGUGCCUUUAAAAAGGAUAUGAAAAUCAGUCUCUUACAAGCAAUCCCACCUCGAAAUUCUCUGGCAAAUAAAGAAAAAAAAAGGAGCUCAGUAGCAGAAUGAAGAAAGCUGAGCUGGUCUUCAUACCAACACCAGGUAUCAGCCACCUCGUAUCCACAGUAGAGGUAGCAAAGCUUCUUGUUGACCGUGAUGAGAGGCUUUCAGUCACCUUCCUAAUCAUGAAAAUACGUUCUGACCCCAAGAUUGAUAGGUUUAUAAAUUCAAUGAGUACAGCCUGUAAUCGUAUCCGCUUCAUUGACUUGCCUAAAGAUGAGCCUGAUCCAAACCAACCCAGGAAGUUUCUCUUUUCUAUGUUUGAAGCCCAGAUACCCCAUGUCAAAGAUGAAGUCUCUAAGCUUGUGAGCCUGUCCGAGUCAAGCCCUGACUCGCCUACACUUUCUGGGUUUGUUCUCGAUAUGUUUUGUACACCAAUGAUAGACGUGGCCAAUGAAUUUGGUG